rnacentral:rRNA from 1 species
GGACUACAGGGGUAUCUAAUCCUGUUUGCUCCCCUAGCUUUCGCGCCUCAGCGUCUGUUACAGCCCAGAAAACCGUCUUCACCACCGGUGUUCUUCCACAUAUCUACGCAUUUCACCGCUACACGUGGAAUUCCGUUUUCCCUAACUGCACUCUAGCCAAAAAGUUUCAAAUGCAGCUCCGGGGUUGAGCCCCGGAAUUUCACAUCUGACUUUUUUGGCCGCCUACGCGCCCUUUACGCCCAGUAAUUCCGAUCAAUGCUUGCACCCUCCGUAUUACCGCGGCUGCUGGCAC